rnacentral:tRNA from 1 species
GCGGGCGUGGCGGAAUUGGCAGACGCGCCGGACUUAGGAUCCGGUGCCGCAAGGCAUGGAGGUUCAAAUCCUCUCGCCCGUA